GGGUGGAGCAGCCCGGUAGCUCGUCAGGCUCAUAACCUGAAGGUCACAGGUUCAAAUCCUGUCCCCGCAACCA
rnacentral:tRNA from 2 species